GACGAACGCUGGCGGCGUGCUUAACACAUGCCAGUCGAACGGAAAGGCCCUGCUUUUGUGGGGUGCUCGAGUGGCGAACGGGUGAGUAACACGUGAGUAACCUGCCCUUGUCUUUGGGAUAACUUCAGGAAACUGGGGCUAAUACCGGAUAGGAGCUCCUGCUGCAUGGUGGGGGUUGGAAAGUUUCGGCGGUUGGGGAUGGACUCGCGGCUUAUCAGCUUGUUGGUGGGGUAGUGGCUUACCAAGGCUUUGACGGGUAGCCGGCCUGAGAGGGUGACCGGCGACAUUGGGACUGAGGUACGGCCCAGAAUCCUACGGGAGGCAGCAGUGGGGAGUAUUGCACAAUGGGCGGAAGCCUGAUACAGCAACGCCGCGUGCGGGAUGACGGCCUUCGGGUUGUAAACCGCUUUCUCCUGUGACGAGGCGGGAGUGACGGUAAUGGGUAAAGAAGCACCGGCUAACUACGUG
rnacentral:rRNA from 1 species